GACGAACGCUGGCGGCGUGCUUAACACAUGCAAGUCGAACGGAAAGGUCCUGUUUUUGUGGGGUGCUCGAGUUGCGACCGGGUGAGUAACCCGUGGGUAACCUGCACUUGACUUUGGGAUAACGUCAGGAAGCUUGGGCUAAUACCGGCAAGGAGUUAUCGCUGUUUGAUGGGGGUGGGUUGGUUUGGGCGGUUGGGGGUGGAAUAGCGUAUCAUCGGGUUGUUGGAGGGGUAGUGGGUUACGAAGAGUUGGGCGGGUGGCCGGCCUGAGAGGGUGACCGGGCACAGUGGGACUGAGAUACGGCCCAGACUCCUACGGGAGGCAGCAGGGGCGAAGGUUGCACAAUGGGAGGAAGCCUGAUGCAGCAACACCGCGUGCGGGAUAACGGCCUACGGGUUAUAAACCGCUUUCGCCUGUAACGAAGCUGGAGUGACGAUAAUGGGUAAAGAAGCACCGGCUAACUACGUG
rnacentral:rRNA from 1 species